rnacentral:rRNA from 1 species
GGGCAGCAUUUUAGUUUGCUUGCAAACUGAAGAUGGCGACCGGCGCACGGGUGAGUAACACGUAUCCAACCUGCCGAUAACUCCGGAAUAGCCUUUCGAAAGAAAGAUUAAUACCGGAUGGCAUACGAAUAUCGCAUGAUAUUUUUAUUAAAGAAUUUCGGUUAUCGAUGGGGAUGCGUUCCAUUAGUUUGUUGGCGGGGUAACGGCCCACCAAGACUACGAUGGAUAGGGGUUCUGAGAGGAAGGUCCCCCACAUUGGAACUGAGACACGGUCCAAACUCCUACGGGAGGCAGCAGUGAGGAAUAUUGGUCAAUGGGCGCGAGCCUGAACCAGCCAAGUAGCGUGAAGGAUGAAGGCUCUAUGGGUCGUAAACUUCUUUUAUUUGGGAAUAAAGUUUUCCACGUGUGGAAUUUUGUAUGUACCAUAUGAAUAAGGAUCGGCUAACUCCGUGCCAGCAGCCGCGGUAAUACGGAGGAUCCGAGCGUUAUCCGGAUUUAUUGGGUUUAAAGGGAGCGUAGGUGGAUUGUUAAGUCAGUUGUGAAAGUUUGCGGCUCAACCGUAAAAUUGCAGUUGAAACUGGCAGUCUUGAGUACAGUAGAGGUGGGCGGAAUUCGUGGUGUAGCGGUGAAAUGCUUAGAUAUCACGAAGAACUCCGAUUGCGAAGGCAGCUCACUAGACUGUUACUGACACUGAUGCUCGAAAGUGUGGGUAUCAAACAGGAUUAGAUACCCUGGUAGUCCACACAGUAAACGAUGAAUACUCGCUGUUUGCGAUAUACAGUAAGCGGCCAAGCGAAAGCAUUAAGUAUUCCACCUGGGGAGUACGCCGGCAACGGUGAAACUCAAAGGAAUUGACGGGGGCCCGCACAAGCGGAGGAACAUGUGGUUUAAUUCGAUGAUACGCGAGGAACCUUACCCGGGCUUAAAUUGCAACAGAAUAUAUUGGAAACAG